rfam:Danio rerio chromosome 7, GRCz11 reference primary assembly.
CCAAAGGCUCUUUUAAGAGCCACCCAUUUCCUCCUUAAAAGAAUAAU